GCUGUAGAAACCUCUAUUUUUAGUUGUUCAGGGAGAUGGAUUUGAAACUGAUCUUCCAUUUCCUUGGCUGCAGCACUCGAUGAAAGCCUUCUUCUUUGGCAAUACUCAUUGUGUCAGUCAUUGGCUUUCUGUGUCAGGGAACAGCAGGACCUAGAUCGAACCCCUGGCAUUUCAGGCACACUCUUGCCUCAGUCUCAGAGGUGGUCUCCUGCAUGCUGUAUCUCUGCAGAGUGAUUUUUGUCUCUCAUCUGACCCACCAUAGUUCUUUUCUUUCUUCAACAAACAGUUAUUGAACUCCUAUUUACCAAGUGCAUUCCUAGAAAAUAAACAAGACAAUGGAAGCUUCAGGGAUCUCAGAGUUUUAAGAGUUAGGUUCUGUCAAUAGAAGAUACUAAAGAAAGAAAGCCAGGAGAAGAAAAGGGACUUCUUUCUUCAAGGUCUAAGCUGUUCUAAUAGCAUUAUUCUGGGAAUGGCAUCUUCCACUCCUCCUAGUACAAAGAACCUGCUUCCUCAUACCCCGUCAAGGAACUGCAGCAUCCAGGUGAUGGCCACAGUGGCAGAACCUAGGAAGCCAAGAAGAAACCAGAGAAUGGAGACACAUGGCAGCAAUGGCAAGUCAUCAGACCCAGGAUUUCCCAAAGAACACUGGUCCAGGAAGAUGCUCUGUGAAAAAGUGUUCCCUGGUCGGAGAAAUUUGUGAAACACUUUGCAUAAUACUUAAAAGAAUGUAUGGCACAUCAAAGGUAAUAUGCAAUAAAAGAAUUCAUUUUUUUAAAA
rnacentral:lncRNA from 1 species